rnacentral:ribozyme from 1 species
GAAAGCCGUAUGAUGGGAAACUAUCACGUACGGUUUGGAGGN